AUGCUCGCUUCGGCAGCACUUAUACUAAAAUUGGAAUGAUACAGAGAAGAUUAGCAUGGCCCCUGCACAGGGAUGACAUGCAGAUUUGUGAAGUGUUCCAUAUAAAA
rnacentral:snRNA from 1 species